rnacentral:rRNA from 1 species
CCCCUAGACGUUCUGGGCUGCACGCGCGCUACAAUAAUACGCACAGCGAGUAUCACCGAGCUCGAAAGGGCAAGGUAAACAAUAGAAAAGGUACUGUAAUGGUUAUAGAUCCUUGUAAUUAUUGAUCUUCAACGAGGAAUUCCUAGUAAGUAUGUGUCAUCAUCACGCACUGAUUAUGUCCCUGCCCUUUGUACACACCGCCCGUCGCUCCUACCGAUUGAGUGAGCCGAUGAAACUGCCGGAUGUGGACUAUUCAUAGUCUGCAGAAGAUAUUUGAAUCGUAGCGCUUAGAGGAAGGAGAAGUCGUAACA